GCAGUCGAACGGCAGCGCGGGGGCAACCCUGGCGGCGAGUGGCGAACGGGUGAGUAAUACAUCGGAACGUGUCCUGGAGUGGGGGAUAGCCCGGCGAAAGCCGGAUUAAUACCGCAUACGCUCUGAGGAGGAAAGCGGGGGAUCUUCGGACCUCGCGCUCAAGGGGCGGCCGAUGGCAGAUUAGCUAGUUGGUGGGGUAAAGGCCUACCAAGGCGACGAUCUGUAGCUGGUCUGAGAGGACGACCAGCCACACUGGGACUGAGACACGGCCCAGACUCCUACGGGAGGCAGCAGUGGGGAAUUUUGGACAAUGGGGGCAACCCUGAUCCAGCAAUGCCGCGUGUGUGAAGAAGGCCUUCGGGUUGUAAAGCACUUUUGUCCGGAAAGAAAACCUCCGUCCUAAUACGGUGGGGGGAUGACGGUACCGGAAGAAUAAGCACCGGCUAACUACGUGCCAGCAGCCGCGGUAAUACGUAGGGUGCAAGCGUUAAUCGGAAUUACUGGGCGUAAAGCGUGCGCAGGCGGUUCGCUAAGACCGAUGUGAAAUCCCCGGGCUUAACCUGGGAACUGCAUUGGUGACUGGCGGGCUAGAGUAUGGCAGAGGGGGGUAGAAUUCCACGUGUAGCAGUGAAAUGCGUAGAGAUGUGGAGGAAUACCGAUGGCGAAGGCAGCCCCCUGGGCCAAUACUGACGCUCAUGCACGAAAGCGUGGGGGAGCAAACAGGGAUUAGAUACCCUGGUAGUCCACGCCCUAAACGAUGUCAACUAGUUGUCGGGUCUUCAUUGACUUGGUAACGAAGCUAACGCGUGAAGUUGACCGCCUGGGGGAGUACGGUCG
rnacentral:rRNA from 1 species